rnacentral:lncRNA from 1 species
AAAAAAAAAAAUAAAAAAAAUAUGGAAAACAAUAAAGACAUUUCAAAAGACAAUAAAAAAAUAAAAAAAAUAAAAAAAGAAAAACGGGAUAUAAAUAAAACAGAUGAAGAUAAAAAUGAUGAAACAAAAAAUGGACCUUUUUUAUCAGAAAAAGAAGAUAAUACUAGUAUAAAUAAAGUUGGUAUAGAAAAUGUUAUAAAAAAUCAAAAGGUUGUAAAACAUAUAAAAAAGAAAGAUAAAAUUUUUUAUGAAAUUGAUAAGAAAGAAAAUAAGGAUAAUAUGACUGGAAAAGUAAUAAAAACACAAGUUGUUAACAAAGGUGGAUUAGAUAGUAAUAUAAAUUUAAAUGAAACAAGCGAUAAUAAUAUAAACAGUAUAAAUAUAAAUUAUGAUAGUAAAAUAAACUCUGUUUAUUAUAAUAAUAAUAAUAAAAUGGAUACCUUCAAUAAUAUAAAAAAGGAAUUUAAAAAUAUUGAUUAUGAUUCUGAAAAUUAUGAAAAUAAUGAAAAUAAUGAAAAUAAUGAAAAUAAUGAAAAUUAUGAAAAUUAUGAAAAUUAUGAAAAUUAUGAAAAUACAAAUUACUUCGAUGAAAGUUCCAAUGAUUUGUUGGUGGAGAGAAACAUAAAAGAUAAAGAGAAACGUGGACAAGUAUUGCUAGAAGAAAAAAAAAAAAAAAUAGAUGAAAAAAUAGAUGAAAAUAUAGAUGAAAAAAUAGAUNNNNNNNNNNAUAGAUGAAAAAAUAGAUGAAAAUAUAGAUGAAAAAAUAGAUGAAAAAAUAGAUGAAAAAAUAGAUGAAAAAAUAGAUGAAAAUAUAGAUGAAAAUAUAAAUGAAAAUAUAGAUGAAAAAAUAGAUGAAAAAAUAGAUGAAAAAAUAGAUGAAAAUAUAAAUGAAAGUGAUACUUCAGUACAGUCUACUCAAAAUGAAUCAAUGGAAACUAUCUCUAAUGAAACAAAAAAGGUGCGAGUGUCGAAAAAAAAACAAAGUAGAGGAGAAAAAACAUAUAAAUCG